UACGGGGGGGGCAAGCGUUGUUCGGAAUUACUGGGCGUAAAGGGCUCGUAGGCGGCCAACUAAGUCAUACGUGAAAUCCCUCGGCUUAACCGGGGAACUGCGUCUGAUACUGGAUGGCUUGAGAUUGGGAGAGGGAUGCGGAAUUCCAGGUGUAGCGGUGAAAUGCGCAGAUAUCAGGAAGAACACCCGUGGCGAAGGCGGCUCUCUGGGACGGUACUGACGCUGAGACGCGAAAGCGUGGGGAGCGAACAGG
rnacentral:rRNA from 1 species